AGAGUUUGAUCCUGGCUCAGAACGAACGUUGGCGGCGUGGAUUAGGCAUGCAAGUCGUGGGACAGCUGGGGGCAACUCCAGUUGACCGGCGUAAGGGGUAGUUAUGCAUGGGUAACCAUCCCUCCAGAUGGGGAUAACAUCGAGAAAUCGAUGCUAAUACCCAGCGCCGUUGCGAUGGGGCAUCCUGUUGCAACGAAAGGUGUGAUUCCGCUGGAGGACGGGCUCAUGUGGUAUUAGCUAGUUGGUAGGGUAACGGCCUACCAAGGCUACGAUGCCUAGGGGGUGUUAGCGCACGACCCCCACCACUGGGACUGAGACACUGCCCAGACACCUACGGGUGGCUGCAGUCGAGAAUCUUCGGCAAUGAGCGCAAGCUUGACCGAGCGACGCCGCGUGGAGGAUGAAGGCCUUCGGGUUGUAAACUCCUGUCAGGGGGGAGGAAAGCUAGGCGGGCUCUCCCGUUUAGUGACCUAGCCUCAGAGAAAAACGA
rnacentral:rRNA from 1 species